rnacentral:rRNA from 1 species
AACCUUUUGGAGCCAGCCGCCGAAGGUGGGACCAAUGAUUGGGGUGAAGUCGUAACAAGGUAGCCGUAUCGGAAGGUGCGGCUGGAUCACCUCCUUU